CAGGCUCGAACGGCAUUGGACAUCCUGCGAAAGCAGGCUCCCGCAAGGGCCGAUGUCGAGGUGCUGCAUGGCUGUCGUCAGCUCGUGUCGUGAGAUGUUGGGUUAAGUCCCGCAACGAGCGCAACCCUUGUCCGCUGUUGCCAUCACGUUAUGGUGGGCACUCUGCGGAGACUGCCGGUGAUAAACCGGAGGAAGGUGGGGAUGACGUCAAGUCAGCAUCGG
rnacentral:rRNA from 1 species